UGCCUCUUCCUCCUCCUCUUCCGUCUCCUCCAAGGCCGCUGCCGCCGCCGACAGGGACUCUACGGGGUCUUUGCGUUCGUAAUGGGUGACCCGCGCUCCGGUGCUGGGAUUGACCGGGGUUUGGAGACUGCUGGCCGCCAGCUUCGCUGCUCGGUGCGAGGCGGCCAUCACCACGCCACCGAGGCCUGAGCGCCCGCGCUGGCCCGGGGCGUGGAAGCCGGCGCGGCCGUAGGCGCCCGAUGGCUCCUUGCUUGGGGAGGUGGUUACUAGGGGUCCGGUAACUAGGGACGCUACAGGUGCCGCUAGGGGCCAAAAGUCACUCAAAACCGGCGCCCGCUGCGGGAGGCCCGAAGUGGGGGCCUCCUGGAUAGCGGGAAUCAGUAUUGAAUCUUUGCUGGUUUAGAGGGCUGGUGGGCAGAAUAGGGCACCUCUUCCCCUCCUUCGCGCUUCACUGCCUAAACGCAGGCUUCUCACAUUAUACUAAUGAAACGACACGUUUUGUGAGUGAAAAAGCGCAUUUUUAUUCAUUGAAAUAACCUGUUAGGAGGAGACGGCGGCGGCAGAGGAAAGCUGGGGAUGUUAUCACGUUGCGGCCUCAGGACUGGAAGGUUUGCAUGCCGCUACCCAACAUGGCUCCCCCGGAAGCCAGAGAAUGGGAGUCCAGUACCUUCUACUCUGAUUGACUUGAGAGCUAGCAGAAAUCGACCAAUCCGGAGGAGGCUGCUAGCUAUCUCUUCUCGGCUGACCAAUAAAAGCCCAGAGUUGGGUGGAGCCUGGUCCACCCACCAGCUGCUCUUUGUUUUGACUGAGCAUUUGCUUCGACCACUGGAACAGAUGCUGGCUGGAUUCUGAGCAGAAGCCAGAGUUGGAAGCCCAUGAGGGGGCCCGGUUUGAUCCCUAGUCAAGGAACUAGAUCCCACAUGCUGCAACUAAGAAUUCACAUGCCACAACUGAAGAUCCCACAUGCCACAAGGAAGAGCCCGUGUGCCGCACCCAGCACAGCCAAAUAAAUAAACAGAUAUUUUUUUUAAGUGUACAAAAAAAUAUAUUGCUGGAUGCGUUUUGACAAAUGCGUACACUCAUGAAAUCAUAUUAAGAGAUAGAACAUUUCAUUCAUCCCGGGAAAAUCCCUUGUGCCCCUUCCCAGUCUGUUCCCCAUUCCACAUUCCCUUGGCUGUUAUAGAACUUCAUAUAAAUGGAAUCAUACUGUAUGUACUCCUUUUGCUCUUAACUUCUUUUGAUCAGCAUACUGUCUUUUGGGGAUUCAUCCAUGUUGUAUAUAUGAGUAGUCUGUUCCUUUUUAAUUGCUGAAUAGUAUUCUUUGCUGAGAUAAUAGUUUUCCAAUACUGGAAGAAUUUUCCUCAUUAUUUUGUGCUAUUCAUAAUGUAACAGUUACAGUCAAGGCAUACUCUUAAAUUUAAUCCGUGCCAUUAACAUUGUCUUUAUCACUUUCUUAAGUUUAUUCACUCACCUAUUGUUUCCAUUUUUUCAGCUGUCAGUUUGGGUCCUUCAGGAAGAUGAUACCAGGAAGGAGUUAGAAGUGAAAGAGUUAUUGGGGGAAGUUCCUGUGAAAGAUAAAGGGACGGGAGUAGGAAUGUUUUCAGGACAAGAUAUAUUCUGACACCUUAGAAAAGAGAGGGAAAGGAGAAUAAUUGUGUAGGUGAAGGUUGAAACUACAGUGAAGGUCUGAGAAAGUCUCAGCCAGGUAAAAAGAGAACUCCAGCACAAAGAUUGCUCAUAGAGGAGACAUGGCCAGACCCUACCAGCCCUGCCAUCUGAAUCAUUGGCUAGCACUCCCUCUGAAGAGCAAGUUCUCAAAUGGAACACUGUGAGAAAACCCUGAAGUGCUGUGGUUGCUGGCUGUUGGCCAGUGUUAUGCUGGUAAAUGUUUGAUGACUGGUUCUCUGGGAGAAAGUGUGUGUGUAUGUGAUUGUACUUAUAAAUUUUAGUAAUAUAAAGAAUUGUAGCACACAACUUAUAAAUAAAACAUACUCUUUACUGUAAAUCCCUCACAAUUGAUUCUCCCAGAGUACUUUCAUUGGUUUUUGCUGAACUCAUAUCUAUAGCCAACCUAUGGUUGCAACUGGUGAAUGUAGUUCCAGCAUGAAUGCUGGUUGAUAUUUUUGUUUAUAUUAAUGACUAAGAUGAAAGUGAAACAACCAACAUGUAUGUCAGAAUUUCACUUGUCUGCCAAUGUGUGAGUAACUUUUUUGCUAGAAUAGAUAAAUACUUUUCUAAUACUAAAAGAAUUUUCCUUAAAUUUUUGUGCUGUUCACAAUGUGACAGCUACAGACACCACACACUAAGUUUUUUCUGUAUUAUUAGCAUUUUCCUCAUUGUUCUAAGUUUAAAAGCCAACCUGUAGCACUCGCUGAUUUCCAUGAUGUCAGUACCCUCGCCAAGGCCAAUUUCAAGUAACCAGUGUGACAUCACUGAACAUGAACUUGGGGAAUGAUGCCCAAUAGGACACCAUUAUAUAGUUUUUCCACCAUACAGAUAGAGUAGAUGCAAAUAAUCUUGAGAGCCUAAGUAUAAGUAAAAUGUAGUAACAGAAGAGGAAGUGAAGAGUUUUGAGAAAUUAUCUUUGUUUUGAAUAUAAUUUAUUUAAUUACAAUUUAGCAAAACUUAAUUUUUAAUAAUGGCUGUGUUUAACAAACAGUUUGCAAAUACCUUGAAAUUUUUACAGUCAGGUCUUUAAAGCCAGUACUAACAGGCCCCUGCACACUGCUGUGUCAAUUGACUGCACUCCUCACAGCAGAGCCUGUCUUUAAAGGAGAUCUAAGCAGGUCAGCUAGUUGACUGCCACAUUUGCUAUUGUGAAUAAAGCAGCUAUGAAAAGUCCUGUAAGUGUCUUUGAUACAUUUGUGUAUACAUGGAGGGAUAGAAGAUUUGAACAGCACAAUUAUAAUUAGGUAACAUAUGUCUAUUAGAAAAUAUAUUUUUUCUAAUAUGUAUAUAAAUAUAUUUUAUAUAUUAUAUUAUAGAAAUAAAUUUAUAUAAAUAUAUAUAUAACAAUUGGAGAAUAUAUAUUAUCUUAGGAACAUUAUAAAAAGAAACCACAGCA